AAAUUGAAGAGUUUGAUCAUGGCUCAGAUUGAACGCUGGCGGCAGGCCUAACACAUGCAAGUCGAACGGUAGCACAGAGAGCUUGCUCUCGGGUGACGAGUGGCGGACGGGUGAGUAAUGUCUGGGAAACUGCCCGAUGGAGGGGGAUAACUACUGGAAACGGUAGCUAAUACCGCAUAACGUCGCAAGACCAAAGUGGGGGACCUUCGGGCCUCACACCAUCGGAUGUGCCCAGAUGGGAUUAGCUAGUAGGUGGGGUAACGGCUCACCUAGGCGACGAUCCCUAGCUGGUCUGAGAGGAUGACCAGCCACACUGGAACUGAGACACGGUCCAGACUCCUACGGGAGGCAGCAGUGGGGAAUAUUGCACAAUGGGCGCAAGCCUGAUGCAGCCAUGCCGCGUGUAUGAAGAAGGCCUUCGGGUUGUAAAGUACUUUCAGCGAGGAGGAAGGCGUUGUGGUUAAUAACCACAGCGAUUGACGUUACUCGCAGAAGAAGCACCGGCUAACUCCGUGCCAGCAGCCGCGGUAAUACGGAGGGUGCAAGCGUUAAUCGGAAUUACUGGGCGUAAAGCGCACGCAGGCGGUUUGUUAAGUCAGAUGUGAAAUCCCCGGGCUCAACCUGGGAACUGCAUUUGAAACUGGCAAGCUUGAGUCUCGUAGAGGGGG
rnacentral:rRNA from 1 species